GCUCCAUCUAAACUCAGUCAGCAGAGCAUGAGACUCCUAAUCUUAAGACUGUGGGUUCAAGUCCCACAUGGGGCA